rnacentral:rRNA from 1 species
UACAGAGGUGGCAAGCGUUGUUCGGAAUUACUGGGCGUAAAGGGCGCGUAGGCGGCCUUCUAAGUCAGACGUGAAAUCCCCCGGCUUAACCUGGGAACUGCGUCUGAUACUGGAGGGCUUGAGUGCGGGAGAGGGAUGUGGAAUUCCAGGUGUAGCGGUGAAAUGCGUAGAUAUCUGGAGGAACACCAGUAGCGAAGGCGGCACUCUGGGCCGGUACUGACGCUGAGACGCGAAAGCGUGGGGAGCGAACAGG